UACGUAGGGAGCAAGCGUUGUCCGGAAUCAUUGGGCGUAAAGCGCGCGUAGGCGGCCUUGUAAGUCCGUUGUGAAAGUCAAAGGCUCAACCUUUGAAAGCCGAUGGAUACUGCGGAGCUAGAGUACGGAAGAGGCGAGUGGAAUUCCUGGUGUAGCGGUGGAAUGCGCAGAUAUCAGGAGGAACACCAAUAGCGAAGGCAGCUCGCUGGGACGUUACUGACACUGAGGCGCGAAAGCGUGGGGAGCGAACAGG
rnacentral:rRNA from 1 species